rnacentral:rRNA from 1 species
GACGAACGCUGGCGGCGUGCCUAACACAUGCAAGUCAACUUGAGGGAAGGAGCAAUCUGACCUGAUGGUGGCGCAAGGGUGCGUAACGCGUAAGUAACUUGCCCAAGGUAAGGAAUAACGUCGAGAAAUCGGCGCUAAUACCUCAUAAUGCAGCGGAUCCGCAUGGAUAUGUUGUUAAAGGUUUACCGCCUUGGGAUAGGCUUGCGUCUGAUUAGCUAGUUGGUGUGGUAAUGGCACACCAAGGCUACGAUCAGUAACUGGUCUGAGAGGAUGAUCAGUCACACUGGAACUGAGACACGGUCCAGACUCCUACGGGAGGGCAGCAGUGAGGAAUAUUGGGCGAA